rnacentral:miRNA from 13 species
CACUAGAUUGUGAGCUCCUGGA